CCUUUAAAACCCCAUCCCAUCUUCUCUCUCUCCCUACUAUCCAUCUUCUUUCUCUCUCUAAACCAUCCACCUGCCACUGCCACCACCUAACAUCUAUCGCCACCUAACAACCUCCACCACCUAACAAGCAUUUCUAACGCCCAAUUAUUGGGUUUCAUAUCAGUCUGUGAAACUUAUGGAGCUCAAAAAUCAACCAAAUAUCGAAAAUGAGUACUAUGAUUCGAAACAAAAGAUCUGUAACAUCGGGACGGAUCCGUGUGGGAGGGAGAGGGUGAGAAACAAAGAAACAUCUUUUUUUUUCAGAUCGCCAGAAUAAACGUGAAGGAAAGUUGCGAUGGUGGUGCAUAGCCGUCAGAAUGAGAUGAAGACGAGUGGGGAUACGGUGGUGGCGUCUUGUUGGUGGGAGAGAGUGCCUGUUGCAGAGAUGGCGGCUGUGGAUGGUCGAUUACGGUGCUGGUGACAGUAUGAGUGGAGGUGGUUUCAGAUGGUAGGUUUAGAAAGAGAAAGGGGUGUCGGUGGUGGCUAUCACUAGUGGUGGGGUUUGUUGAAGAGAGAGAGAGAGAGAGUGAAAGCUGGAUAAGAGAUUAUAUUUUUCAUAUAUCUAUAUUGUAUAAUUGUUUUUUUUUUUAAAUCUGAUUUGUUUUAUUGUUUGA